GGUUCUAUGGUGUAAUGGUUAGCACGCUGGUCUCUGAAUCCAGCAAUCUGAGUUCAAAUCUCAGUAGGACAU
rnacentral:tRNA from 1 species